AUUGAACGCUGGCGGCAGGCCUAACACAUGCAAGUCGAACGAGUGGCGGACGGGUGAGUAAUGUCUGGGAAACUGCCCGAUGGAGGGGGAUAACUACUGGAAACGGUAGCUAAUACCGCAUACCAUCGGAUGUGCCCAGAUGGGAUUAGCUAGUGGGUGGGGUAACGGCUCACCUAGGCGACGAUCCCUAGCUGGUCUGAGAGGAUGACCAGCCACACUGGAACUGAGACACGGUCCAGACUCCUACGGGAGGCAGCAGUGGGGAAUAUUGCGCAAUGGACGCAAGCCUGAUGCAGCCAUGCCGCGUGUGUGAAGAAGGCCUUCGGAUUGUAAAGUUCUGUCGGCGAGGAAGCGUUACUCACAGAGGAAGCACCGGCUAACUCCGUGCCAGCCGCCGCGGUAAUUC
rnacentral:rRNA from 1 species